CCCUUAGAUGUUCUGGGCCGCACGCGCGCUACACUGACGAAUGCAACGAGCUUAUAACCUUGGCCGAAAGGUCUGGGUAAUCUCCAAAUUUCGUCGUGAUGGGGAUAGAUUAUUGCAAUUAUUAAUCUUCAACGAGGAAUGCCUAGUAAGCGCAAGUCAUCAGCUCGCGUUGAUUACGUCCCUGCCCUUUGUACACACCGCCCGUCGCUCCUACCGAUUGAAUGGUCCGGUGAAGCGCUCGGACCGCGGCCUCUUGACGGUUUUCCGUCGAUUGGCUGUGGGAAGUUCGUUAAACCUUAUCAUUUAGAGGAAGGAGAAGUCGUAACA
rnacentral:rRNA from 1 species